rnacentral:rRNA from 1 species
UACGUAGGUGGCAAGCGUUGUCCGGAUUUACUGGGCGUAAAGAGCGCGCAGGCGGUCGUUCAAGUCGCGUGUGAAAGCCCCCGGCUCAACUGGGGAGGGUCACGCGAUACUGAUCGACUCGAAGGCAGGAGAGGGUAGUGGAAUUCCCGGUGUAGUGGUGAAAUGCGUAGAUAUCGGGAGGAACACCAGUGGCGAAGGCGACUACCUGGCCUGUUCUUGACGCUGAGGCGCGAAAGCUAGGGGAGCAAACG